CACUCCGAGGAGCGCUGCGAGACUGCAAUGGUCCCAGGCUCGGAAAAUUUGUAACGGCGCUCACCCAAC
rnacentral:ncRNA from 1 species